GACGAACGCUGGCGGCGUGCUUAACACAUGCAAGUCGAACGAUGAAGCCGGAGCUUGCUCUGGUGAAUUAGUGGCGAACGGGUGAGUAACACGUGAGUAACCUGCCCUUGACUCUGGGAUAACUGCUAGAAAUGGUAGCUAAUACCGGAUACGACCCUCGGAGGCAUCUCCAGGGGGUGGAAAGAAUUUCGGUCAAGGAUGGACUCGCGGCCUAUCAGCUAGUUGGUGAGGUAACGGCUCACCAAGGCGACGACGGGUAGCCGGCCUGAGAGGGUGACCGGCCACACUGGGACUGAGACACGGCCCAGACUCCUGCGGGAGGCAGCAGUGGGGAAUAUUGCACAAUGGGCGCAAGCCUGAUGCAGCAACGCCGCGUGAGGGACGACGGCCUUCGGGUUGUAAACCUCUUUUAGUAGGGAAGAAGCGAAAGUGACGGUACCUGCAGAAAAAGCACCGGUUAACUACGUGCCAGCCGCCGCCGUAA
rnacentral:rRNA from 1 species